rnacentral:rRNA from 1 species
CGGAACGGGUGAGUAAUGCGUGACCAACCUGCCCCAUGCUCCAGAAUAGCUCUUGGAAACGGGUGGUAAUGCUGGAUGCUCCAACUUGACGCAUGUCUUGUUGGGAAAGUGUUUAGUGGCAUGGGAUGGGGUCGCGUCCUAUCAGCUUGUAGGCGGGGUAAUGGCCCACCUAGGCUUCGACGGGUAGCCGGCCUGAGAGGGCGGACGGCCACAUUGGGACUGAGAUACGGCCCAGACUCCUACGGGAGGCAGCAUU